rnacentral:rRNA from 1 species
AUCAGUGGCGAACGGGUGAGUAACACGUGAGCAACCUGCCCCUGACUCUGGGAUAAGCGCUGGAAACGGCGUCUAAUACUGGAUACGAGACGUGACCGCAUGGUCAACGUUUGGAAAGAUUUUUCGGUUGGGGAUGGGCUCGCGGCCUAUCAGCUUGUUGGUGAGGUAAUGGCUCACCAAGGCGUCGACGGGUAGCCGGCCUGAGAGGGUGACCGGCCACACUGGGACUGAGACACGGCCCAGACUCCUACGGGAGGCAGCAGUGGGGAAUAUUGCACAAUGGGCGGAAGCCUGAUGCAGCAACGCCGCGUGAGGGAUGACGGCCUUCGGGUUGUAAACCUCUUUUAGCAGGGAAGAAGCGAAAGUGACGGUACCUGCAGAAAAAGCGCCGGCUAACUACGUGCCAGCAGCCGCGGUAAUACGUAGGGCGCAAGCGUUAUCCGGAAUUAUUGGGCGUAAAGAGCUCGUAGGCGGUUUGUCGCGUCUGCUGUGAAAUCUGGGGGCUCAACCCCCAGCCUGCAGUGGGUACGGGCAGACUAGAGUGCGGUAGGGGAGAUUGGAAUUCCUGGUGUAGCGGUGGAAUGCGCAGAUAUCAGGAGGAACACCGAUGGCGAAGGCAGAUCUCUGGGCCGUAACUGACGCUGAGGAGCGAAAGGGUGGGGAGCAAACAGGCUUAGAUACCCUGGUAGUCCACCCCGUAAACGUUGGGAACUAGUUGUGGGGUCCAUUCCACGGAUUCCGUGACGCAGCUAACGCAUU